rnacentral:sRNA from 1 species
AGAAGAAAACUAGAAA